rnacentral:rRNA from 1 species
AAUGAACGCUGGCGGCGUGCUUAACACAUGCAAGUCGAGCGAGAAAACUCCUUCGGGAGUGAGUAAAGCGGCGGACGAGUGAGUAACACGUAAGAAUCUGCCCUUUAGUGGAGAAUACCCUCGAGAAAUCGAGGUUAAUACUGCAUACCUUCCUUCGGGAAGAAAGGUGGCUUUUAUGCUGCCGCUAAAGGAUGAGCUUGCGCGCUAUCAGCUAGUUGGUGAGGUAAUGGCUCACCAAGGCGAUGACGGCUAACCGGCCUGAGAGGGUGUACGGUCACGUUGGAACCGAGACACGGUCCAAACUCCUACGGGAGGCAGCAGUGGGGAAUAUUGCGCAAUGGGCGAAAGCCUGACGCAGCGACGCCGCGUGGAGGAUGAAGGUCUUCGGAUUGUAAACUCCUGUUAAGUGGGAAGAAAUUCCGAUCUCUAAUAUAGAUCGGGGAUGACGGUACCGCUAGAGAAAGCACCGGCUAACUUCGUGCCAGCAGCCGCGGUAAUACGGA